rnacentral:rRNA from 1 species
UACAGAGGUGGCAAGCGUUGCUCGGAAUCACUGGGCGUAAAGCGCACGUAGGCGGCUUCUUAAGUCAGGGGUGAAAUCCUGGAGCUCAACUCCAGAACUGCCCUUGAUACUGAGGAGCUCGAGUCCGGAAGAGGUGAGUGGAACUGCGAGUGUAGAGGUGAAAUUCGUAGAUAUUCGCAAGAACACCAGUGGCGAAGGCGGCUCACUGGUCCGGUACUGACGCUGAGGUGCGAAAGCGUGGGGAGCAAACAGG